rnacentral:rRNA from 1 species
UCGGGAAUUUUGGGCAAUGGGCGAAAGCCUGACCCAGCAACGCCGCGUGAAGGAUGAAGUAUUUCGGUAUGUAAACUUCGAAAGAAUAGGAAGAAUAAAUGACGGUACUAUUUAUAAGGUCCGGCUAACUACGUGCCAGCAGCCGCGGUAAUACGUAGGGACCAAGCGUUGUUCGGAUUUACUGGGCGUAAAGGGUGCGUAGGCGGUUUAUUAAGUCAGUGGUGAAAGACGGUCGCUCAACGAUUGCAGUGCCAUUGAUACUGGUAGACUUGAGUAUGAUUGAGGUAGCUGGAAUGGAUAGUGUAGCGGUGAAAUGCAUAGAUAUUAUCCAGAACACCAAUUGCGUAGGCAAGUUACUAAGUCAUAACUGACGCUGAGGCACGAAAGUGUGGGUAUCAAACAGGAUUAGAUACCCCGGUAGUCCCUGAGCGGGCUGGCAAGGCGCAU